GACCUCUUAGCUCAGUGGUGGAGCAUGCGAUUCCAGAUUGGAAUCUCCGCAGUACCAUCUGUUCAAUCCGGACAGAGGUUA
rfam:Sphaerobolus stellatus SS14 unplaced genomic scaffold SPHSTscaffold_6, whole genome shotgun sequence.